CCUCUUGAGCUUCGGCACCAUCUUAGAUGGUGUGCACAGCAUGCUGGGAACUGUAGCCCUUCACAGUGCUUUCAUCUCGAGCUCUUAAGAGGGGGCUCUGUCUCUCUUAAAGGGCCCUCACAGCACUGGGAAAAGUGCAGUACUGUGCAGAGAUAAGCAUUGUGGGAAAUGGCUCUCCCAUAAGAAAAGCCCUGCUGGAUCAGGCCCAAGGCCCAUGUAGUCCAGUGAAUCAGGCCCAAGGCCCAUCUAGUCCCACCAGGAGCAUCUGGUGGGAGUCACACUGUGGCCCACCAGAUGCUCCUGAGAAGCCCACAAGCAAGAGCGGAGGCCUACCCUCUCUCCUGCUGUUACUCCCCUGCAACUGGUAUUCAGAGGCAUCCUAUAGCUCUCAGACCAGUAGCUCUUGAUAGACCUGUUCUCCAUGAAUUUAUCUAGAUCCCUCUUAAAGCCAUCCAGGCUGUUGGCUCUCACCAUAUCUUGUGGCAGAGAAUUCCAUAGGCUGAUUAUAUGUUGUGUGAAACAGUAUUUCUUUUUGUCGGUGCUGAAUUGACUUGUCCAUGAUCUAGAUUUUUCUGCGCCUCAGAGGGCAUUUGCGCAUGUGUGGCGGUCGGCAAAAUGGCGGCCGCUAGCUUUUACAGAGGACCGAAAGGGCCAAAAAGGCUUCACUCACCUGGCCGCAGCGGUGAUGAGGAAGGCCGGCGGGGGGAGAGGGAACCCGCUCGGACGCACACACACCCCAUGGGUACAGCAUGCACCCCGAAGGGGCUAUAGCCUUAAGUGGCGCAGUGGGGAAAUGCUUGACUAACAAGCAGAAGGUUGCUGGUUUGAAUCCCUGCUGGUACUAUAUCGAGCAGCAGCAAUACAGGAAGAUGCUGAAAGACAUCAUCUCAUACUUCAUGAGACGAGGCAAUGCUUCCUGCUCAACAAAGAGGGAGAUACUCUCGCCUAUGUAGCCUGUGAAGAACUAAUAUUAAAAAGGGCAAGAAUCCUUGUCUAGUCCCAAGAACGCUGAAUCACUCUUGAUUUGCCCUGACAGAACUACUGAAGUGGAGCAAUCUUAUGAAUUAUAGCAAAGCUUUACUUGUCACGGACAACAACAACAAAAUGGAUUUACUGGUUAGGAACAAGAGCAACAAAACACAUAUGUAAGAAGCUAUUUUUCAUUGGACUAUACUCUGUAAAGCUGCACAAUUUAUAUAUUUCCCUGCAAUAGAUACCGGGCUGAAGAAGACGGAUCUGCACUGCCUCUCCUGUUCUCUGCAAUUGGAGGAACCACAGCUCAGAGGCAGAAUACCUGCUUUGCACACAGAAGGCCCCAGUUUCAAUUCCCAGUGUCAUAGAAUAUUAGUGGUUGACACUAGGAAUGUGCAAAUUGAUUUGGGUACAAAUCGAUUUGUACCCGAAUCUAGCUGAUUCGGGUGAUUUGGAGACAAAACAAAUCACCCCUGUGAUCCAUUGGCUAGAUUCGGGUACAAAUUGAAUUAUGCCUGAUUUGAUUUGAAUCGAUUCAAGAUGUGGAUCCCUCCUAUCAAUUCCCUCACAUUCCCAGCUUUCUUUCUUUUUAAAAGCUAAGCUCUAGCCUUUGUAGAAGUGGAGAUAUGGAGCA